rnacentral:rRNA from 1 species
UUCAGUGGCGAGCUCGCCAGGACCCCGAGCGCAGUAGUUAAACCCUCGCUUUGGAAGGCCCUGGCGGUGCCCUGCCGUUAAACCCCCAACUUCUGAAAAUUGACCUCGAUCAGUA